AUCAAUAGGUAUUAGUCUGAAUAAAUAGGUAUUAGUCUGGAUCAUUAGGUAUUAGUCUGGAUCAAUAGGUAUUAGUCUGGAUCAAUAGGUAUUAGUCUGGAUAAAUAGGUAUUAGUCUGGAUCAAUAGGUAUUAGUCUGGAUCAAUAGGUAUUAGGUAUUAGUCUGGAUAAAUAGGUAUUAGUCUGGAUCAAUAGGUAUUAGUCUGGAUCAAUAGUCUGGAUCAAUAGGUAUUAGUCUGGAUCAAUAGGUAUUAGGUAUUAGUCUGGAUCAAUAGGUAUUAGUCUGGAUCAAUAGGUAUUAGUCUGGAUCAAUAGGUAUUAGUCUGGAUCAAUAGGUAUUAGGUAUUAGUCUGGAUCAAUAGGUAUUAGUCUGGAUCAAUAGGUAUUAGGUAUUAGUCUGGAUCAAUAGGUAUUAGUCUGGAUCAAUAGGUAUUAGUCUGGAUCAAUAGGUAUUAGGUAUUAGUCUGGAUCAAUAGGUAUUAGUCUGGAUCAAUAGUCUGGAUCAAUAGGUAUUAGUCUGGAUCAAUAGGUAUUAGGUAUUAGUCUGGAUCAAUAGGUAUUAGUCUGGAUCAAUAGGUAUUAGGUAUUAGUCUGGAUAAAUAGGUAUUAGUCUGGAUCAAUAGGUAUUAGUCUGGAUCAAUAGGUAUUAGGUAUUAGUCUGGAUCAAUAGGUAUUAGUCUGGAUCAAUAGGUAUUAGUCUGGAUCAAUAGGUAUUAGGUAUUAGUCUGGAUCAAUAGGUAUUAGUCUGGAUCAAUAGGUAUUAGGUAUUAGUCUGGAUCAAUAGGUAUUAGUCUGGAUCAAUAGGUAUUAGUCUGGAUCAAUAGGUAUUAGGUAUUAGUCUGGAUCAAUAGGUAUUAGUCUGGAUCAAUAGGUAUUAGGUAUUAGUCUGGAUCAAUAGGUAUUAGUCUGGAUCAAUAGGUAUUAGGUAUUAGUCUGGAUCAAUAGUCUGGAUCAAUAGGUAUUAGUCUGGAUAAAUAGGUAUUAGUCUGGAUCAAUAGGUAUUAGUCUGGAUCAAUAGGUAUUAGUCUGGAUCAAUAGGUAUUAGUCUGGAUCAAUAGGUAUUAGUCUGGAUCAAUAGGUAUUAGUCUGGAUCAAUAGGUAUUAGUCUGGAUCAAUAGGUAUUAGUCUGGAUCAAUAGGUAUUAGUCUGGAUCAAUAGGUAUUAGUCUGGAUCAAUAGGUAUUAGUCUGGAUCAACAGGUAUUAGUCUGGAUCAAUAGGUAUUAGUCUGGAUCAAUAGGUAUUAGUCUGGAUCAAUAGGUAUUAGUCUGGAUCAAUAGGUAUUAGUCUGGAUCAACAGGUAUUAGUCUGGAUCAACAGGUAUUAGUCUGGAUCAAUAGGUAUUAGUCUGGAUCAACAGGUAUUAGUCUGGAUCAAUAGGUAUUAGUCUGGAUCAACAGGUAUUAGUCUGGAUCAAUAGGUAUUAGUCUGGAUCAAUAGGUAUUAGUCUGGAUCAAUAGGUAUUAGUCUGGAUCAACAGGUAUUAGUCUGGAUCAAUAGGUAUUAGUCUGGAUCAACAGGUAUUAGUCUGGAUCAAUAGGUAUUAGUCUGGAUCAAUAGGUAUUAGUCUGGAUCAAUAGGUAUUAGUCUGGAUCAAUAGGUAUUAGUCUGGAUCAAUAGGUAUUAGUCUGGAUCAAUAGUCUGGAUCAAUAGGUAUUAGUCUGGAUCAAUAGGUAUUAGUCUGGAUCAAUAGGUAUUAGUCUGGAUCAAUAGGUAUUAGUCUGGAUCAAUAGGUAUUAGUCUGGAUCAAUAGGUAUUAGUCUGGAU